UUGCGCUGAUGAGCUGUGAUUGUGUUCUGACCUGGUAUUGCUGUUCCUCUGGGAAUAACUCUGACCAGGGCCUGAGGACUUAAUCUUCUCUCUGAGCAC
ensembl:snoRNA SNORD7 Z30 small nucleolar RNA